UUACUCACAUGUUAGUGUGUGAUUGAACACUUGUAUAUUUGUUAUCACAGGUUGUUGAAAUCAAUUCACAACAAGAAAAUGUAACGGUGAACUCCCAUCUUUACCUUACUUAGGACAAAUGCCAGAAAACACGUGAUGGACAAUAAAUAACAUGGAAUGAAAA